AGGAAACAUUUCUUUGAAUAACUGCUGUUAUUACGGUUAUUUUUUAUUCCUGAUGCAAACUGAUAGUCAGUUAAAUUUUCUUUCGGAAAUCUGCUGCCCUAUGCAGUUUGCUUAUUAACAACAACAGGUUGAAAUAUAACUUCCGCUGUCUGGUGACGGGUUUCCUUUUUGAGGUAUUUUCUCAAGGUAAGCACGCGCACGCUUCUCCUCUCCAAUUGCAAAAUUAAAUUUGCUGACCUUGAUGUUUUGCUCCCUUUUCUCCUUUGAUUUUUCUUUUUCACUAAGGACGUAUUCUGUAUAACACUUCCUGUUAUACUCAUCCCACUUUUGUUCUCUCACUUGUUCUUCUUGUCUUUUUUUCUCUUUUAGCCUUAUGGCAUUUUUUCUGCCUUCAUCAAUAGCUUUUAGUAUUUCUGCUCUCAUUUGUUCUUCUUCGAGGCAUCUGGCUUUAAAUUCUCUGGCCUCUUUUUCCGCAUAAGCCUUUUCUAAUUCUGCCUCUCUUAAAGCUUUUUUAACAGCCUCUGCUUUUUGCAUUGCUUCCAGUUUUUCCGAAGCGAUGUCUGCUGUUAGCUGUCUUCUUCUUACUCUGGCCAUGGUGUGAGCCAUCGAGAGAGCCAUCUUUUUAUCAACUUCUUUUUGAACACGUUUGUCAUGUUCAUAGCGCUCUUUCUGUUUUUGAAUUUCAAGAGGAAGCAGAGGACACGUGUAGGCCCAAUGACAAACAAAUUCAUCACCCAUAACGCACUUAUUAAGGGGAUCACCGGGACAGCGAGAAAUGAUCACAGGUCUGUGAGGCUGUAAACACGUGCACCUGUGGGUGACCAGGGGGACGCUCUAAAACUCUCAGGAACCACGAGUAUAUUAGUUUAUUAUAUCGUGGACUUCACUGAGUGAAAAAGGAUGAAGAUCCAGUGCAGCUGGUCUCAGGAGAUGAUGAAAAAGCCUGAACACCUUCUCUACAACAACAACAAGAAUAAAUUGUGACCAGGCUCAUUGGCUGAGAUGGUGGAGCAAAACAGCAACACAUUAAUUGUGACUGCUGAAGUUCCUGUAUGAACCCAACAACUCUGAAAAUCCAAGGAAAAGGUGUGCAUUUUCCUUAAAGCCCAGAUGGAAUUUGAUGGACUACCAUUCAGGACUUUCUCUCACUGGUAUAUGAAGAGUGCUACCAAUAGAAAGUGUGCACACAAUGUCUCACUUCAUGCUUGCUCUUCACUAACCUCUGGUGUUGCUUUCUAGUCACUUGUGUUGUUAUGGUCUCAUUUGUUAUUGUCUCACAAGCAGAGGUUUUUGCUUGGGAAGUAACCAUGACCUCUUUUCAGAGGCUUCUCUAACAUUUAAUGGUUGUGAAAUAUGUCAACUUUUCUCCUCUACUUUAACUACUAAGAGCAUUUUGAGCACAGUGGAGAAAAGGGGUUGCACUGAGGAUUUUGAACUGUGGCGUUUAAGUGUUGUCACUGCAGAAGAUCUGUGGACACAGAUCCUUAUUCACUUAGCUGCUGUUCAGUUUAAAAGUCUUCAUCAGAACAAGCAGAACAAUUGCACUUUGCUCCUCACUGUCUUUGAAAAGUAAGAGCUGAUAAAACAAAUCCACUAAAUGCAUUUUUAUCUUUAAGUUUGGUAUAGUAAUUUGUCGAACAGACAAGUAAUCUUGUCUGUUCGAUUACUUUGUCUGUUCUAAUAACAGACAAGUAAUCAUGUUCUAAUAAACCCAAAUUUCAGCAACACCUUUGGAUCUGUUCGGUUUUAUUCAUAUAGCACCAGUUAACAAAUCGUUUCUCAAGUCACUUUAUAUUGUAAGGUAAAGACCCGACAGUGUUAAUCUAGGACAAAUGUUCACUCUGAUUCAAUGUUGAAGCGAAUGCAAGUCGGUAAUCAAAGGUGAGUUUUUGGCCAUAACUGACUACAUAUGUAUAUUAUAUCAUGAGUGGACAGACAUGGUUGUAAACCACACCUUAACUGUUUGGCUGAGCUAAAACAACCACAGCAGGGAUUCUAGCUUUAAGGUACUCUCGAUAUUGUUAAAUGUGCAAAUAUUGGUAUAUUUUUUGUUUGUCAGCUGUCCGUUUCGAAGAAAACACUUUGACGCCGCUUGAAUCCAUGUAUUUAUGAACACAUUUUCAUGAUGUUAGGGACCAGGCAGUAAGGCAUAGAGGACACAGGUGUUUAAUUCAAAAAUGGGUUUUUAUUGACCCAAAAUAUGAAAAAUAAUUGACAAAGCCAAAACUUAAAUAGACAGACCAAUAAAAGAGGUCAACUCAAUAAACUAAACUCAAAAUAACAACUAACAAAACCUCAAACAAACAUAAGACAAACUGACCUCGUGAAAUGACUGUGACAAAGUGGCUAGGAUUGAAUUCAUUUACCAUUUGUCACUUACAUAUAUUCUUAAUUUAGCUUGUGGUAUCUUAUAAUGAAUCAUAAUGCUUUAAUGUACACACUGCAGAUGGACUGUUUGUGGUAGCAUUGGUUACAUUCAUUACAUCUGUGCAAAUGUUCUUAAAGCCAAAUGUCACUUAAUCAUUAGUUGAUUUGAAUCUUUCAUUUGAUUAUGUAGUUUGGUUAUACAUACAUGUACCAUUCUGUGUUCCUUUGUGCAGGUCCUAUAUGUAAAGGGUAUGUAGGAGGGGCCGCCCCAGUACUUCCUGUUUAUAUAGGAUAUGAUUUCAUUGAUUGAGUCAAUUAGGUGUAACAAAAAGAAGGGAUGUUUCUUUUGUGUAAAAUUGCUUAUUUCCUUUGAAAUAACCUCAUGAGUCGGAUUGUGUGAAGAGAAUGACUUUUCAAACUGUUUAUUUGGGUAAAUGAGUUUGUUAAGUGGAAAAAUGAUUUUAUUCCUGUUUCUUUGUCUAGACGGUGUUAUUUGGUCUAACCUGUUUUCUCAAUGGUAGGGAUGAAUGAGUUUCAGCUGUGGGUGGAAUUCUGUAUAAAGCAGGGGAGAUUUUGACUGCCAGGGUUCUUAUGUUUGAGUGAAACAAUUGUUGAAUGGUGACGCCAGAAAAUAAAGGACACUUAAAAGAAA